CCUGGCUUCCCGUGAGGUCUCACUGGGAUCGGGAGUGAGAGAAGCAAACUCUGAAGUUGUGCCCGAAGAAAAGUUGUCCGACUAGAGAAGUCGGGGGGAUCCCGAGUGUCGACACCCGCUCAAUCCUGUUUGGUCCUGGGUUCUUCCUGCUUUUUCUGCAAACCCAGGGGAAGGGCAGGGUUUGCCUAGGAAGCUUGCCGUAGUCUUAUGCAGACAAGGGGAGAAAGGAAACGACACGUCUUCAGAGCGGCACCUCGCCUUGUUCAGUCUUCUCAUCUCCUGGCCAGGGCUGGAAUGGAGGCUGAGGGCGACCUGAGCAGUGCUGGUGCCGGCUCUCCCCACUCGUAGCCCCUUCUAAAGGAAACACGUCUGAGCCCUCAUGGUGAAGAACCAAACCCAACGAAAGUUGGAUCUUUUUCGGAGAGGGGCCGGGGGUGCCGAGCCCGGCGACUCUGUCCGCGGAGCGCUCGACAGCGGCGGAGCGCUCGCCGCGGCUGGGACUUGACCUGCAGAGGGCAAUAGUUGGACGCAAAUGCCAACAAAGGCAGCGGGGCUCGCUGGCUCGGCGCCGCGGCCGGGACCCGAGAAUGCUGUGUAGGAAUCUGUUGCUGCGUAUGACAUCUCUUGCAAGCUCCCAGAGAGAACUGAUGGAGCAUACAGCUAGGGAAUAGGAUACCAGAGAAGCACAGAGAAAGAAUCCAGGCAAUCACCAGGAUGGGAAGGUUCAGCGUCCACUGGAUAUGGGACAAGAUCGCUUGGCAACCCUUGUGGAUUCUCCUUCUUCUGGAGGCGAAUUAUAGUUAUGGAUUUAUUGUCCCGGUGCAGCACUUCCACCAGCAGCAGCAACAGCAGCAGCUUUCUGACUCUCUUCGGUGACGGGUAUUCUUGGGUGGAUAAUACGGAUUACGUUGUUAUUGCUUAAGAAUACGCGUAGUCGAGGAGAGUACCGGCGGCGGGCAGGCAGGCAGGCAGCGCGACCGCCCCCAGCCCACCAGCUGGCUCCUCACCUCCUCUAGUUGCCAAGAUGUUUGCUCUGCCAGAUUUGACCACAGGAAUGUGAGGCCAGUGGGCUGAGCCUCAUGAAGCAGAGAAGAGAAGCAGUUAGCCUGGAGUUUGCAUCUUCCAUCAUUUCCAAGGGCGAGGCAGAAAACUGGUUUCUCCCUGGGAGAAGUCAACCAAAGAGGAACUGUUUACCUUCAAGGAGGUGGGAAUGUGUGAAUGCCAAUGGUCUUUGUCAUUAGCCAGCUCUCUUCAAGCUGGCUGAGGAGCUGACAGGAUCUGUCGAUUCAAUCUCGCCUUCAAAAGACAGGAACAAAAUCACCACUGUAACGUUUUGGCAAAGCAAAAUGUUUUGUUUGCUGGCAAGGGUUUAACUCACGUGCAGCCCUGCUGCCCUCUUAGGAUGUCAAAGAAAGAGGCUUUGCAAGUCAAAUGCUGCCUGCCUCACCAGCCUGUCUUACCCCAGUGAUGAAGUGCUCCAGCAUCAGAAGUCACCUUCUGUGUUCAGCUGAGCUCAACUGGAGUCAUGCUCUCUGGCUGUGCUGUUAAGUGGCUCUGAAGAUGUUACAGGUGCAGGGCCAUGCUGCUGUAUUUCAAGUGAUCAUAAAAACUCGCUGGAUAAAUUGAAAAGGUGUGACUUUUCAUUGUAGCAAGCUUGGACUGGGUAAGCAACUCCGUCACUGUGCUAAGGCAGCAGAUGCAGUCAGUGUUUGGAGGAAAUGGUUCAUGACCUGAUGAUGCUUUCCAAGAGAUUCAAUGAGGGGAAAAAAGAUGCUGGAGGCUCCUCAUGUCAGAGUAACACUGGUGGGACAGGCAAGGGAAGCAGAAGGAUCAGACAGUGGGAGAGGAUGAACAGAAAGGUGCAAUGCAAGCAGAAAACCCCUUUGCCGUGCUUCAGGCUUACUCUUGACCUCAAGAUGUGGGACAAAAAGCAAUAGCUUCAGGAAAAGCCCUUUCCUGAAGAUCAGCAGAGCAUGCCAGGAGGGUGCUGCAGCCAUUGUCUCUGCAACCAAAGUGAGGAGCAAAGCCACAGUCUGAUGGGGUUGGGCUGCAGGGAUCAAGAUCUGGAUCACCCUGAGAGUUGGGUUCAAUGGGUCCCCAGAACCAGGGAAGGCCCUCAGGCCCUCUCCCCACAUGGGGAUUCACAACCAGCUGGGUCAGGGUGCCAUUGGAUGCUGGGAUGGACACUCCCCACAGAAGCAUCACAUCAAAGCUGGUCCUUAGCCAAGCAAACGUCGGUGGGCUGUUCCUGAAGUGUUUGGGUCAGUCCCAGAUAGCCCUGGGAAUGUAUGGGCUCUGGGCCCCGAGCUGUGACCUGAGGAUGGCCCAGGGUGAAGGGCCAGGAUGCUGCCCAGGGACUGCACCCUGAGGAAGGGCAACUGUGAAUCUUGGCAAAAGCCAAGCUGGUCUUGCACAAAUUCUCUGGUGGUUCAGGCUAGCCAAGUUAAACAUGUCCCUUACCCUGGCUUUGUCACAGCUCUGACAGAAGUCCCAGGUGUGGGUCAGAACUGCCCCUGCACAGGGCACUUGCUGGGGCAGGAAGGGUGUGCAGAGAUGGAGCCUGGCGCUGCCAGGGCUUGGCCAUCAUGCUCCCACAUGGGUGACUCACUGAGGAGCCCCUUGGGCAGCAGGUGCACACAGCUUCUGUUCCCUCUGAGCCAAUCCAUACAGAGGCUGUGCUGGGCAGACAUGCUGGGGCCAUGGCUGCUCCCUGGAAGGAGAGAGAGAUCAGAGAGGGAAGAGUGUGGACUGGGAGAAGGGAGAAGGUAAUAAAGGGGCUGAGGUUGAUAUGCUGCUGUUGUGAGCUGCAUUACCUGACAGGACUUGCCCCUUGCCAAGGGUAGGUCAUCUUUCCUUUGACUCAAGAGGAUGUUGGGGGGUGUGUUUGCUAGGCCCAGAAACCAGUCACUGCUGCACUGGGUCUUUACAUGGUCUGUUGUGGUAUGUUCUGCUGCCCUGUGAUCUGCAAUUUCUAUUUAAUUGUUUACAUGAACUCAGGCUCUUGCUGUCUUGGGGGAAUUUCACCUAAGUAAGCACUGGGAAGAUUUACCUUUAUUCAAAUCAUAGCACCUUUGACAUAGUUUUUCUCUGUAUUACUUUGUUUAGGUCCUUUUUAAAGAAGUUAAUAAAGCUGGCAGCACAACUCCAUUGACUCUCAGCAGAACAGCUCUCUCAUUCCUGAGGUCCCUUUCAUAACCAGUUAUAUUAGCAUCCUUCGUUAGCAUCCUGCUUUUCUCUUCAGCAUUACCAUGCAAUGUGCUUUCUUUUGUAGUACCUAAAGCUUGUGAGAUAACUCAGUUUGCCUCCCAGUGGGGGAGAAGGUAUCUGUAAUCUGUGUUUCGUGUCUUGGGUCUCUUGAAAGGACUAGAAAUCCCAAAUGCAGUAACUUGUGGGUUUUCUGUCUUAGAGAAUUAGGAUGUCUUUGCAUUACUGAGCAGGCAAACAGUGAGCAGUGCUUGAUCAAUAAGAGGCAUUGCCAGAGGUCUGCUAUAGUCUGCCACAGCUGACGGUAAGUGUUGCUAUAGGCUAUGGAACUAGGAAUAUAAAAUGUCAAAUGACAGUAAUAAUUCAUGCAUCCUGGGACAUAUAAAACCAACAGCAUGUCAAUAGCUGUGGCAUGCUCUGCAGAAAAUAUGCAGGAUUUAGACAUUGCAGGAGUCUGUUUUAUUUUAAACCACACUUUCCUUGGUGAAAUAUAGACUUUCCCUGUUUGUUAAAAGCAUUUAUUUUCAGUUUCAUGUUGCUACUUCUCUAUUAACAUUCUAAGAGCCACACAGCUCAAAAGGGGCCCUGAGAUUCAAAAAGCAAAAUAUAUGUAUUUACUGAAGAAAAACACAUAAAAUAUUUAUAAAACAGAGGGUGCAAUACUAUUUGAGAUUCAUGGACCAUUUCAGCAUUCAUAAAAGCAAAUAUGGUUCUAGUAUUGGCUUCACCUGGAAUCAGACUUUACUGGAGAGGUUACCCAGGAGGGACCUGCCUUAAAAUGAAACUUAUUACAGUCAUUAAUUUUACAUGGAAAAUCAUUACAUUUUACAUGGGAAGCAGAAUGUCUUGUGAAAUUAGUAAGAACUUCUCCAAUAUUCAUCUUCUUUAAAAAUACUUCAGGAUAAUUAAUAUCACUUUUCUUUUACUAAAAGAUAUGAAGAGGAUGAAUUACUGCAUCUGGGAGGGCACAGCAGGCAUAAGAGGAAAGAUUGUGUGUAUCUGAUACUUGUUUUCCCCUGUGCCCCUGCUGCUUGGGAGCCUAAAAGGGAAGGGUGCUGUUUUACUGGCUAAGGCUCCCACAAAAAUUCUUCAGAUGAAACUUUAAUGAGAGAAGGGUAAAAAUAUAUUUGAGCAGCCCCAUUCUUAUACUUUCAGCUGUUUGCUCCUGAGCGCCUCAACUGUGGGUUGUCAGGCCUCAAUUUCUGUAAAUUUGCUUGAAAGUAGAAGGGCAAGACAGAAAAGUUGCAUGUCCCUCAUGAUUAUAUGAAUAUAGGGCUUAAUGUAAAGGUAGUACUUCUAAAAGAAUGUAAAAUAUUAACUGAAAAAAGAAAGAAGGCAAAGCUUCACAAAGAAAUCCACUACGCAUUAUUUAAAUCUCCCCCUGUGAGAGGCUGAGGAUUCAAACACAUACAAUUGUCUGCUCUUCCAUGUGACAGCAACCCCUCUGCUUUAGAGUUGCACAGUCCUGGCUCUCAGUGCUCUACUUGAGAAUUUUUUUUAAAGUUAUAUAUUAAAAAAAAAAUGUCUUAAAUAUAAUUUCCAUUCUUUGAAGACCAUAAAGUGAUUUUGGGGCAGUGGACUGUACCUAUGUAGACAGGCUCUAAUAGAUAUUUUGGCACAUCUUGCUGAAGCUAACUUGAUAUGGAGAUGAUUAAAAUAAAUAAAAAGCAAAAUUAAUCCUGCUAACCGUCUGAGACCUAAGAAAAGGGAUGUCUUUGUUCUGACGAGAACAUCUUGGCUCGUUCUGCUCCUUUGGCUUGGUUUGGGGAGGAUGUAUUUAACAGUCCUCCCAUGAUACUUGGCAAAUAUAAAGCUGUCACAUUGGAUCCUGCUUCUCUUUGUAUUAAAAGAAUGUCUAUGGUGUUUAUGUUAUGGGAAAAAAGCACUAUUUCUACUUAUUGUAUUUUCAUUGUCUCUUUUCUUAUGACUGUACUGUUUGCCAGCAGCCAAGGGGGCACUUUGAUGCUUGCUUCAAUGCCAUGGUUUAUUGUGUUGCACAGUUGAGCCUAUGGUUUUCCUUUCAAAUCAGAGCUGGCAUACUGGGUGAAAAAAAACCAAACCAAAAAUAAAGCUUUUCUAUAAUUAUGGUUAUCUCAUAAAGUCUGCAUUUGUUACAGCUGCUGGGGUGUUGGAAAUCAGUGUUUGUAAAUACCUAUAUAUUCUGAUUUGUUUUCAGCCUCAGAGAUGUUUUUGUCUGUCUGUGUUCCUCACCCCUGGCCAUUCAUGCAAGCAGCCUUCCCUACCUGCACGCCGAGCUGCACUGCCUCGGGAAGAUACCAGCCUGUUACCCAGCUUAUCUGCAUGGUACAACUUCACCUUGUUCCCUCCUCUCACUCUGAGGGAUUAGCAUCCAAAGAAAACCAAAUUAGUCUGGUAUCAAUUCAGCCAGGAAAGCGAGUGGCCAAAGCGACCAGAACGCUCCUGCUGGCAGGACUGAGUGCAGAAGGAGGCUGGCAGGGCGUGCUCUUUGUGUGCUGCCCAGCUCCACCACGCUCUCUCAGAGCCCCACGGGGACGCCCUGGGUCCUGCUGGGGGGAACCAGACCCUCCUGUGCCCACAGGAAGCUUCACUUGCUGGCUCCAUGCUCCAUGUGGCCGUGCCAGUUAGGAUGUGUACAAUGCCUGCUUGGAUGUGUCUGUUGCUUUUCUCCAUGUGUCUUGUGGUCAUCUGAGAACUGAUGAGGAACCAUUCUGUUUCCAUUUUGCUGAUGGAAAAGGAGAGCCUUUGAGAGGCUGAGUGAUUUGUCCAGGAUUAUGCAGCAAAUCAAUGGGAGAAAACGGGAUCAGGCCAUUCCACACAGGAGUGCCUUUAACUGUCCCAUGGGCUUUCUAGGGAAAGGCAUGCAGGUCCCCAAAGAGGCCUCUUCCAGCAGUGUUCCUCCAUUAUUUCUGUCAGAUUAUUGCUGUGAACAGUGGAGAAAUGCAAAAUGUAUUAUUCAUUUCUCCUACUCCUAAAAUCAAUAGCUAUCAAAAUACAAAAACAAUUUAAAUCAAAAGGCACUUAUUGAGUGCAUAUCCUACUAAUUAGGUAUGAUUUCCCAACAAUUUCUUAAAUUAUUUAUCCAGGGGAUGGGUGAAAGGCACUUUAUAUGUCCCAGAGUGAAUAUUAUAAACCUCUUGUCAUGGUACAGAAAAUGUGAAAUGUAGUACAAUGCAGUGUGAUUUGUAACCUUGAUGAACUAAUGUAAUAUCAAUAGACAUCAAUCUAUGCAAAAAAAAAUCUGUCUCAUCAUAACAUCUAACAAGAUAUGUCAAAAGUCAAUAACUUUGUGAAAUGGACACGUAUCAGUGAAGGUUACAGACUUUGCUGCUAGGAAUCAAUUAAAAAUGUAAUACCCACUUGCAAUGGAAAUUACUACCCCAUCACCAAAAAGGAGGUUUACAUCAUGCAUGGACAUUUGUCAUAAGGGCAGCUCCCUUUAGGCUGGCUGUUGGCUCUGUAAGCAAUUCCACUGUAAUAGAUGGCUUUUUGGUUUUUUUUUCUUAUGCUGCUAUUGCUUAGUUUAGCCCCAUAACCAACAUGCAAAAAAUAUUUAUGCAAUAUCCAGUUAAAUAUAUUUUUAAAACCCAACAGAAAAGAGCCAAUGGUUUGAAGAUUUUUGUUUAAAAAUUAGAAAGCAGCUCUCUUGUUAAAUGGAAGAUUUACAAUUUUCAGUCAAUAAUGUAGAUCAAUGUUCUUCAAUUUUUAAUUAUAAGGAUUUUUCUCAAGCUUCUUUGGAUCUUAAUUUUCAAACUUAUACUUCCCAUCCAUACAGCAGAUCUUAAGGCUCCACCACACCAACAUUGUGUCAAGUGAAAUUCUUGGUCCCAUCAUAUAGGUGUGAUACCCACUCACCAAAUGCUUUCAAUCAGUGAUUUAAAAGAAGAGUAUAAAAUAUAUGUUUUCUCCUCAAUUUUUGAAACCAAUUGAUAAAAUAUUCACUUUUUAGGCAUUUUACUUUGCCAAUGAAAUCUGAUAGUAACUUCAGGGCAAGUGUAACUUUGAGGCCAAAACUAAGGAUUUGAAUGGGAAGGGAGGUCCUAUGGCUUCAGAAACAGCAGUAUGUGAGGGGCUGAAGUAAAACUAUCAGAGUAAUUCAGAGCUUAAACUUUUAUUUUGGUGCUUUCUUGUGUAGCCUUAAUGAUGAUCAGCUCCCAGGAAAGCCAUCAGGAGCCUGAGCAAAAAGCUGCAGUGGUCCAAAGUGCCUGUGUGGUUCAGCUGCUGCAGGCAGCCCACAAUUGCUCUGCAGCACUUCAGUGCAAUUGUGCAACCUGGGAUUCAAGGCAGAGCCAUAACUCAGAAUUUCAUGGCAUUUUAAAGCACAAGUCAGAAUUUUAAUGGUAUUUCAACCUUCCUUAUUAGUUGCACAAUAAGUGUCUUUCAGCCAGUGUUCUGCAAAUUCCUUCCUGGUGGUCUGCAAAAGACACGGCUUGAAAGCCAGAGCAGUGGAGGUGAAUGCUGGGAGUGUGGAAAUGGAUCUUGAAUUGAUGGGAGGAAUAAGGGAUUCUGAAAAAGCACUGCAAUAAGAUGGCACGGGAUAAUAAGGGUAGUAGCGAAAAGUUUAAAAAAGCAUGCCAUGAUUAAAUUGGAUAUAUAGGAUAAAUUCAACUUCAGUUACUCAGCUAUCCUGCUUGUAUUUUUGUUGGUUUUAAUUAAUGAAAAUUUCUCUGGCAGGUAUGAAAGCAAAGUUCAAUCUCAGAGUGUUUGAAUUAGAACUCCUAGUUGCAUCAAGUGAAACAGGCAAUGCUACAUUUAAUGUUUUGCAUUUUCUCAUUCCAUUUAAAUGUGAAUGAGUAUCUGGAAGGAAUAUCCAACAUUGCAGAUACUGUUUAGUGAUAUAUUCUUCUUAUAUUCUUUUCUUCUGUCUAAUGCUUUUCAUACAUGCUUAAAAAGUGUGCGAUUGUCUGUCUGAUUGUAUAUUAGUGACUGCAAAGGUUACCUAAAUUGAGACCAUGGACUAAUUUUAUUUCAAAUGCGGAGUAGAAGCACAUCUGUUUCAAACAGAUUUGUGAAAUGCCUUUUGUGAGUUCAAAUCACAUACAGUAAUGACCACUUAAGUGAGCUCCUACACACACAACAACUCAUUUGCAACAGUGCUAACAAAUGUAUCUAUAAAAUGUCAUUUGCAUUUUGGAGUUCUGAAAUAGGCUCGUCCUCUCCAUUGCCCUGGAAAAUUCAGCCCUCUGUUACUGUGUAGGAGAUACUAAAGAAAAGCAUGUGUUCUUCCUCAUAGAGGAUGUGUUAGCUACUGUAUAACUGUACUUGAUAGAUAUUUCGUAUUUUGCUUGGGUCUCCCUGUGAGAGACCCGUAACAUUUUUUGAGUUGUUAACUAACACGGUUUUCUAGCCAUGAAUUGUUAUGAUUAUAUAAGAUUAUGAAUAUAAUUGAAGUAAUAAAGCCAAAGCAAACAGUCUAGAUUAUA